AUGAUUGUGUGUUUGUUUCAACAGGAUAUGAAAGGAUUAUUGUGUGAGUCAGUGUAUAAGCCUGAUAGCGCUUGUUUGUGUGUGUGUGUGUGUAAGCCUGUGUUGAUUCACAUGGGGACAUUAUUCUUCUGUUAUUAUGCACACGUGAAGCUGAUUAGUACACACUGUCACUGUGCAACCGAGGAACAAUACGUAUAUAGUUCAGAUCAGCGCAGAGACACUACCAGAAACUACAGAAUGUGUAGCCUGGAUGAGGUUCCAUUUAAUAUCUCUCUGUUGGGUCAGAAAGAGCCGGUCACAGCUCCUGAACUUAAGAUCCCAGACUGUGUUCAAAUACUGCGUGAUACAAAGUAUUCAUUCACUCUGGAGAAAAAGAUCAUGGCUGCAUGGGAAGAACAGCAGUGGAAGAACAGGAAAGCCAAAAAGACACCACGGAGUGUGUGUCCCACCUGCCCGCCAUAUUGGCUGAUGUUCAGUAACCCACAGCAGAGCCGCAGGGUGCACCUCAGAAGUGCAGAAUUAUGGGAACUGGGCCCACGCCCCCGCAGUUUAAGCCUCAGUGCUGCUGACUCACAUAAGCUCCGCCCACUACGGGCGGUCCAGUUCCUCAUCGCCGACAUGGACUACGAGGGCGGCUACAGCGAAGACAACGAGAGCUCGUCUGAGGAUGAUGCUGUUCGUAGAAAAGAAAGACCGAAGAGUUCUGGUCCACAGUGCCCAUGGAUUUCUGCACAUCACACCCAGCGAGGCUCCACCCCUCGCCCAGUCCCUUCCGGCACUCUCCACAAGGCCCGACCAAGCUCCGCCUCCUCUGUUAAAGACAUACAUAAGCCUGUCCCCCCUGCCCUCAGCCAGACACCGCAGGGCAGCCCUCACGGCUCCAGAGCCCCCCGCAAGAAGCCCAGCAUAACAAGAACCAGCGGGCGACGGAACUCACACACCCUCCUACAGCCGAGACCCUCAUCCGCAGGACCGCUGCCCUCCGCCAGGACUCAGAAACACUCUUCAAAUGUAACACACACACCGUAG
ensembl:lncRNA